GCGCGCCCACAGCGCAUGCGCAGACACACUCGUCGGAAGGUCAGGAUCCUUUUGCUUACAAUGGCGGAGCUGGGUGAAGCGGACGAGGCAGAGUUGCAGCGCCUGGUGGCGGCCGAACAGCAGAAGGCGCAGUUCACUGCACAGGUGCAUCAUUUCAUGGAGCUAUGCUGGGAUAAAUGUGUGGAGAAGCCAGGGAAUCGCCUAGACUCUCGCACUGAAAAUUGUCUCUCCAGCUGUGUGGACCGCUUCAUUGACACCACUCUUGCCAUCACCAGUCGGUUUGCCCAAAUUGUGCAGAAAGGAGGACAGUAGGCCAUCCCCUGGGAGAAUGACUGAAGCAGCAAAGGACUUGUUAUUAAAGCAGAUUGAAGGGCCAGCAGGGGAAGGUUGUUAACCCAUUGUGAGAACUGCUGGAUGCUGAAUCAUCUGACUGGGAAGCAUCAUUUUCUGCCUCUAAGAAUGAAGCAGAUUUUUUGAGAGACUUUUUCCUGGAUUUUUUCUUGCGCUUAUGUGGUUGUUUCCUUUUCCUGCUAUUCGAAGCCCCAGUUUCUUCUGAGAACUCGCUUGAAGAAUCUGCUGUUAUAUCCGU